GAAAUAUCAGCGCACAGGGCACAGUGACAGAUGAAAUAUCAGCGCACAGGGAAAUGUGCAGUGUGAAAUAUCAGCGCACAGGGCACAGUGACAGAGUGAAUAUCAGCGCACAGGGCACAGUGACAGAGUGAA